ACUGAACGCUGGCGGCAUGCCUUACACAUGCAAGUCGAACGGCAGCACGGGUGCUUGCACCUGGUGGCGAGUGGCGAACGGGUGAGUAAUACAUCGGAACGUACCUUAUCGUGGGGGAUAACGCAGCGAAAGCUGUGCUAAUACCGCAUACGCCCUGAGGGGGAAAGCGGGGGAUCGAAAGACCUCGCGCGAUUAGAGCGGCCGAUGCCUGAUUAGCUUGUUGGUGGGGUAAAAGCCCACCAAGGCGACGAUCAGUAGCUGGUCUGAGAGGACGAUCAGCCGCACUGGGACUGAGAGACGGCCCAGACUCAUACGGGAGGCAGCAGUGGGGAAUUUUGGACAAUGGGGGCAACCCUGAUCCAGCAAUGCCGCGUGAGUGAAGAAGGCCUUCGGGUUGUAAAGCUCUUUUGUCAGGGAAGAAACACCGGCUCUAACACAGUCCGGGAAUGACGGUACCUGAAGAAUAAGCACCGGCUAACUACGUGCCAGCCGCCGCCGUAA
rnacentral:rRNA from 1 species